AGGAUAUGGAAAUGAAUUUCUUAUAAUAAUUUUUUGAUAAUCGUAUAAAUAUUAUUAGAACUCUUGACGAGAUUCUAAAAUUUGUUAUAUAAAGAUGGCUUAAAUAUGUAUUUAAUCCCUGCAAUUAGGGGUCGUUUAAAAAUUGGUCCCUGUAUUCGCUAAUCCUUGCAAACUAGCCUUGCAAUUACUAAUCAUUUAAAAUUUCGUCCCUGAGCCCAGUUAAUUACUGCCACAUCAUCAGAUUGGCAAAAUGGCAUGCGAAUGGACAAAAAUACCCUCACUAUCCUUCUUCUUCUUCCUUUGAACAAUGUAUAUGGUGGUGCACUGUUCAUCUUCUUCAAUUUGUCAAAAACCAACGCAGAAGCAAUAAAUUUAACCCCAAAUCCGAUUCAUAAGUACAAACCCCAAAUUGAACAAUACAUAUUCAUUCAUAAACCCAAUUCAGAAUCACUCUAAUAAACCCAUUAUUCAUAAUUGUUAAACCCAUUUUAGCUGAUAAACUCAAGAAACGGAAGGAUGAGAAGACGUUUACGUUGAUUUCGUGACCAAUUCCGGACUCUAAUGUAUUGAUUUCUUCACGCUACCUGACGAUGAUUUCGUGCCUGGUGGUUCCGAUCCGGAUCCGGAUCCGGCUCAAUUUGUUGCGGCGGCAUCUCCGUUGGGGUUGUGAGUUUUGGUGUUUGUAAGCUACAUCAGUAACAGUAUAAGAAUUUUUAGAGAGGGACAACGAAGGUAAAACAAACCACGACGACAUAGAGCCGAUUUCUAGCAAGAUAUCUUUGAUCGUUUUUUUUUCUGUAAUUAAAAGAAAGAUGAUGAUCAAUAUCGUUUUACAAGAGGUGUUGGGAAAAUUCUUGAGAAAUGAAACACUCAAAAUUGGAACCUCUUGGAUCUUCAAAUAAAUUUGUGGCUUUUGUAGAGGACAAUGAGAUGAUGGGAAUGCUGGUUUUAAUUUUGGUAUGUGAUGAUUUGGAUUGGUUGAAAAUUUGGAGAGAAGGUGGUGUUUUGAGGGAGGAAAAGAACGCAGAAGGGGG
rnacentral:lncRNA from 1 species